CCACGCCAGCUCCCUCUUCCCCUCCCCCCCCACGCCAGCUCCCUCUUCCCCUCCCCCCCCACGCCAGCUCCCUCUUCCCCUCCCCCCCCCCCCCAGCCCCCCUUUCCCCCCCCCCCACGCCAGCUCCCCCUUCCCCUCCCCCCCCCACGCCAGCUCCCUCGUCCCCUCCCCCCCCACGCCAGCUCCCUGGUCCCCCCCCCCCCCCCAGCAGGUCCAGAGGAAGGCCUUUUUGCUUUGCUGAGCUGGGGGGAGAAGAAGACUUAUGAACGGCUGAAGAUACGAGGAGCAGUGUUCUAAGAGGGCAGUUGGAGUUGCCCAGAGGAAACGAAUAUCAGAGGAAGUAGGUUGUGAGACAGAGCAGAAGAUGAGAGAGUCGAGCUUUGGAAAGAGAGAAAGAGAUGAUCAAGGAGGCUUUUAAAGAAAUUUUAAUGUCUAACCCAGUGCUACACAUGCUGAAAUUUUGAGGAGGUUCGUCUCUUCCCCCAGCCGCAUGCCUCACCUGUCUUCCCGGAACAGAAGGAACAGAACAGUUGGAGAGACAGAGGACCAUUUCUUCCUUCAAGGGGAGCCCCUCUUGGAUCCCAGGGCAGCUGGCUGAGGCAGAGGUGACAGGCGAGAGCAGGUGCCCCUGCCUGAGGACCCAGAGCACCAUCCUGCAUGGCUUUAGGUGGUGCUCUAGACAUUUGCCAAGCUGGCUGGCUUCUUAAUCCAGCUAUGAUCUCAGUUCUUGGAUUCGUACCAUUCUGAUGAUGAGGACACAUCAGACAGGGAAGAAUGCACGGGCCAGAAGAAAGAAGUAAAAACAAGAACAAAAGAACCAAUUCUCAACAAAAUACUAGCAAACCAAAUCUAGCAGCAUAUGAAAAGGACUACACACCACGACCAAGUGGGAUUUAUCCCAGGAAUGCAAGGUCUUGCCCUGCCCCAGAGUUAGUCUCUACCUGACUCUGGCUUGUUCAACGAGUUCUGCCCUAUAUGCUCCCCAUUCCAGCCCUAUGCUACCGGGAAGUGAUAGUGCCUGGCACCUAGCUUCCAAGUUGUGGGACUGUCUCACACAUAGCAGAGUGAAGAAGAAAGACGAAGGUCAGAAGAAGGAAGGAGGUGGGACCUUGUGAGAAGGCAAGUUUGUGAAGAGCGGACGCAUGGCAGGAAUAGACUCCCUGACGGGACAAGGAGGAAUGGGCCAAUGCAGUAGGUCUGCUCCCACAUCUGUCUCUCUAGCAUAGAAAACUUAAAAUUUUAGCUUUGUCAUGAAAAAAGAGUUUUGUGUGAUUCGCAAUAUUUUAUAGUGGUCAGGAUCAGUGGUUUGAAGUCAGUCCAACGUGAGUUCAAGCCAGUACUUUUCUUAGACCCAGGUAAAGGAGUCCCUGCCCAGGGCCCACACCAACAGAGGGCUCCC
rnacentral:lncRNA from 1 species